AUGAACGCUAGCUACAGGCUUAACACAUGCAAGUCGAGGGGCAGCAUGGUCUUAGCUUGCUAAGGCCGAUGGCGACCGGCGCACGGGUGAGUAACACGUAUCCAACCUGCCGUCUACUCUUGGACAGCCUUCUGAAAGGAAGAUUAAUACAAGAUGGCAUCAUGAGUCCGCAUGUUCACAUGAUUAAAGGUAUUCCGGUAGACGAUGGGGAUGCGUUCCAUUAGAUAGUAGGCGGGGUAACGGCCCACCUAGUCUUCGAUGGAUAGGGGUUCUGAGAGGAAGGUCCCCCACAUUGGAACUGAGACACGGUCCAAACUCCUACGGGAGGCAGCAGUGAGGAAUAUUGGUCAAUGGGCGAGAGCCUGAACCAGCCAAGUAGCGUGAAGGAUGACUGCCCUAUGGGUUGUAAACUUCUUUUAUAAAGGAAUAAAGUCGGGUAUGUAUACCCGUUUGCAUGUACUUUAUGAAUAAGGAUCGGCUAACUCCGUGCCAGCAGCCGCGGUAAUACGGAGGAUCCGAGCGUUAUCCGGAUUUAUUGGGUUUAAAGGGAGCGUAGAUGGAUGUUUAAGUCAGUUGUGAAAGUUUGCGGCUCAACCGUAAAAUUGCAGUUGAUACUGGAUAUCUUGAGUGCAGUUGAGGCAGGCGGAAUUCGUGGUGUAGCGGUGAAAUGCUUAGAUAUCACGAAGAACUCCGAUUGCGAAGGCAGCCUGCUAAGCUGCAACUGACAUUGAGGCUCGAAAGUGUGGGUAUCAAACAGGAUUAGAUACCCUGGUAGUCCACACAGUAAACGAUGAAUACUCGCUGUUUGCGAUAUACAGUAAGCGGCCAAGCGAAAGCGUUAAGUAUUCCACCUGGGGAGUACGCCGGCAACGGUGAAACUCAAAGGAAUUGACGGGGGCCCGCACAAGCAGUGGAGUAUGUGGUUUAAUUCGAAGCAACGCGAAGAACCUUACCAGGUCUUGACAUCCGAUGCAUAGCACAGAGAUGUGUGAAGUCCUUCGGGACAUCGAGACAGGUGGUGCAUGGUUGUCGUCAGCUCGUGUCGUGAGAUGUUGGGUUAAGUCCCGCAACGAGCGCAACCCUUAUCGUUAGUUACUACGCAAGAGGACUCUAGCGAGACUGCCGUUGACAAAACGGAGGAAGGUGGGGAUGACGUCAAAUCAGCACGGCCCUUACGUCCGGGGCUACACACGUGUUACAAUGGGGGGUACAGAGGGCCGCUACCACGCGAGUGGAUGCCAAUCCCAAAAACCUCUCUCAGUUCGGACUGGAGUCUGCAACCCGACUCCACGAAGCUGGAUUCGCUAGUAAUCGCGCAUCAGCCACGGCGCGGUGAAUACGUUCCCGGGCCUUGUACACACCGCCCGUCAAGCCAUGGGAGCCGGGGGUACCUGAAGUGCGUAACCGCGAGGAGCGCCCUAGGGUAAAACUGGUGACUGGGGCU
rnacentral:rRNA from 1 species